GCACUGGCGCUGCCUGGCCAAUGACUCCGGGGAGAAGCCUGAGUAGGGCCCGGUUUGAACGAGGAUUCAACCUUCUAAAGGACAAGAUGACGUGAACCCAGUUUAAUUGUCAGGCAAGAUGUGCAGAGCCUGCCGUAGGAUGGGGAAACGGCAGCGGGCUGUGAAGUGUCCCUUCCAGCGUGGCUCUGGUUCUGUGAGAACCGUCUGGGUUGGGGGGAGGAGGGGGCCCGAGCAGCUGUCGGUGCCCACAGCGCGGAGCUCCAGGCCCGCCCGCCCGCCCGCCCGCGUUCUUUCCUUCCUUCCCUGCCGCGCACUGAGCGGUACAGCCUGGCCGUUUUGUAAACAAGACACCCUUUGGUGGAGGGCGGGCCGAGCCUCACACAGUGCUACCUGUCCUGCUUCCGCCGCAGGCUGGCGCCAGCCGCCCCUCCCCUCGAGGGCUCAGGGCACAGUGCUCGGCGACAACAAGGCUUGGCUCCUGGACCACAGCCUGGCUGGGGCCUGGCCUCAUUGGGUGCCCAUGGCUCACAGAUGGGCAUAGCCCUCGAGGGAAGCCAUCACCCCUUCCACAGAAAAGAGCAGAUGAGCUCACGGACAAGAAGGUAUUAGGGCUUCUGCUCUCUCUGUGUGCCUCUAUUUCCCGUUUGCACAAUGGGCCCAAGAGUUGUCGUGUUCCAGGGUUCACUGGUAAGCCCUGGCGACCUGGAGGCUGAGCCCUGGGCAGACCGAGGCCGGUCCAUGCUCUGCACGCCCCCCCCCCCAAACACACUCCCAUCUCAGGAGCCCAGGAAGCAGCUUCUGGGACCUGCCAAGGGCUCGGAGAUCCACACCCUCCCGGCCGGGAGAGCUGCUGACCCUCUGGGAGGCCGUCAACAGAGCAAAGAGGAAGCCAGGCUGGGAACCUAGUGGUGCAACCCGGUCCGUGGUGCCGACGACCUCGUGAGCUUGUGCAAUGAACCUGGGGUCCGGAAAGCGGCUGCCUGUGGCCGCACGCAACGGGCAGGCCGACGGGUCACCCAGGAGGCCGCCCUCUAGCCCAGGUGGCCUGGGCGAGCCACGGCCACACGUCACCCCCACCUGAGCUGGCCAAUGGGACCCCAGCCGCCACUACCCUUCCGAACACUGAGGCCCACGCUCACCAUCCCCCACCCAGCUCCAGUGCCUCCUCCCUGGGGUCUCCCAGGGGCUAGGCCACCCUCCCCACCCACGCACAAGUGGCCACUGUCCUCCCUCCAAGGGUGCCUGUCCAAGCCCAGCCCCUAUCAUGUUGCCCUUUGGGCCCUCGAUCCCCCAGGAUAGAGCAGGAAGCCUGGCCCUCAGUCGGAGCCUGGCUCUGGUCUCUGAGCGCCCUGGGCUGGAGUCCUGGUCAGCACCUCUUCCAAGUGCACCCUGCAGCAAAACCCUUCCCCCCUCUGUACACGGGGGUCACAAAGGGCUCCGCUCACCAGCCCGGGACUGCCCUAGGGGCUGCGUUGGGAGAGGAGGGCUGGGAGGGCGUCAGGCGUGUCUCUGGGUGGACCGUGCAUGGGAGGAGCCGCAGAGACCACUGCAGGCCAAGGGGGCCAUGGGCAAAGGCCAGGGCAACAGGAGUUGGGCCCAGGUGAGGAAUCGGCCUGCCUCGGCACAGGUCUGCCAGGGAAGGCCGGGCUGCGGGAGGCACAGGGGUGGCGAUGUGGGGAUAACAGGACGGCUCUUCCCACAGCUCCUGGCGGCAGCCCACCCCCCAGGACACCCAGGCCCAGGCCAGCUCGGAUCUGGGGUUGGGAGGGGCUGGUCGGACCCUGGUUAUCUCGGCUCCCCUGGCGGGGCACUGGAUACAGAGCCCAGAGCCCCCAGCCAGGCUGGUUAUCAGGGGCCACUGAGCCCUGACCUCAGCAGGCCCAGGCUGGGCACGGGGCGGGGGUGCCUGAGGCGUUCCCAGCCCGCCCCCGCACCCAGUAUCUGGAGCUGCCCCGCCCGGCCUGAGAUAGUUGCCCAGAGAGGAGAUAGAUGCUGGGAACACACCGCAGGGCCGGCUCCCAGUGGCCACGGAGAAGGGAGCGGGGAGGUGGCCCUGGACUUGGUGGACAGGCUCAGCCCAGCGGGCGCUGUCGGGGUGAGUCUGGGGGUCCCGCUGGAGAGGAAACUUAGAGCGUGGACUGCCUGACACCCACGUGUGUCUGAGCAGAGCCUAGACUGGGGCUUGGGCUCCGGCCUCCUGCCCACAGAUGGCCUCUGCCAUGCAGGCCGCACAGUCUGCAGGCCUGGCUGCCUGCUCUCCACUCCGGAGGGAGCUGAAGGACGGUGGGGAUGUGCUUGCCGCCACGGGCGCGCCCCUGCACAGGGCUCCCAGAGCUGCACGGCCCUGCCAGAGACCUGCCGGCCCGAGCCCGUGCCCCAGGCAGGGGCUCCCCUGUGCCAGGCCCAGCGCAUGACUUGUGGCCUGGGGCAGGGGGCAGAAGGAGACACCUGUUCACGCCCACCUGGGGCCCCGUGAGGGCAGAGGGGUUCCUGGGAGAAUGGGAUCCCAGAAAGCCCCUCUUCCCACGUGAAGGGCCUUCCAGGGCCCCCACCCCAGGCCCACCCAGCGCCCGCGGCCAGCCUUCCUGCCAGCUCUUGCAACACUGCGUGAGGGCUGCGCAGAAACCCGAUCUCGGGCUCAGGCCCUGACGUGCCCCUGCCGCCCGUCCCACUAAGCUCUUCUCCGUGGUGGGGCCGCCGGUCCCAGACCCCGUGGAGACCCAUGGCUCGUGCCUGCAGGUUCUCAGGAGGGCAGCCAUGGGCACUGCCCUGGCCCUGCCUCCCACGUAAGGGGGCUCCGAGACGGGACCCUCUACACGGAGCUGUCCAGCAAAAGCCUCUGUCCCACCAGCCGGCCAGGGCUGUGGAAGAAACCAGCCCCUGGCCCUCUGGCAGCUGGGCAAGUCCACCCAGUCCCUGCACCUCAGUUUCCCCAUCCGGGAAUGGGACGCCUGCCCAAGACCCUCGUCAGAUGCCUGGGGCGCCUCCUGCAGGAGAAUGGGUACCACGCUGCUCCCCAGCACAGGCCACCGCAGGUGGGGCCUUCCUUCCUCUGCAGCAGAUGGUGAAGGAGCAGUGGUGACGGGGAAUAAACAAGCCACGGGCCUCGUCCCUGUCAGAGCAGGGUCCUCACAGGUGGGCUCAGCGGAGGAGGGGGCUGGCCCUGCGGCCAGAAGCCUCCUGAAGGCAGGCAAUCUCCUCUCUGCACCAGGCCCAGGCCCCUCUGGCUGCUCUCUGCUCUGAAGCGGGCAGGGCCGACCUGCACGUGUGUGCAGGUUGGGCACUGCUCAAGGGACAGUGAGUCGUCAGGGCAGUGGUCCUGCUACACGAGGCAUCUUCCCAAAGCUCGAAGUGGAGCCCCUCCUCAAGUGCUGGCUUAAACCUGGAGCAACGCACCCUCUCAUGCCCCCCCACCCCAAGGGAUGAAGCUUGACUCCUCUGCCCCCCGCCCCCGCCAUGGCUCUCAGCUUGGGUCUCACUUUCCCUGUGAGCUCUGUGUUCCUGCUGCCUCUGCCCUCCCCAUCGGCACCCUGGUCACACCAUGCUGCCACUUCCUGGUCCCUGGGACACCUUUCUCUCCACCAUCCCGGCCCGUUGGUCUGUGGGCUCUGCCAGGGCCGGAAUCAAACCACUUUGGAAUCCCACCGAGGUCUGUAGAAGGCAGGGGGGCGGGAGGGGCCUGGAGCUGUGGGAGAUAGGCUUUGCUGGUAAGGCACCCAGGACUGGGGCAGAGAAUAAGCUGGCGGUGGAGGGAGCAGGUGGGCGCAGGGGAGCCUCUGGUCAGGGGCUCAGGGCCAGGGUCAGCAAACUGACGGCACCGUGUCCCUCUGCCAGCCCCCAGGACCCUUGCAGCCCCCAGUUGCCCCACAGCCCUGAACCCCCACCUCCCUGCCUCACACAAAGCCCAGGUUUUCCGGGCCUUACCUCUCCCUCUGUACAGGAGCCCAAGCCCCUCCACGUGCCCCCGCCCGGGUAGCACCCCCAGCCGCUGGUGCAGCCGUGCCCCAUCCCUCAGGUGUGUCUCUGCUCCCGCGGCAGCUCAGCCCCCUUUGAAAGUCGUGCUGACGUUCAAGGGCCACCCCCCAGAGGUCCUGGGAAGAUGGGAAGAGCCCGCAUCUCCCUACUGCCUUGAGGGAGCCCUGAGGGGCCUUUGUGGGGCCCGGCUGGACCCUCAGGACAUUGGAAACCCAGGACGCUCAGGAGGCCUGUUAGGGGGUCCCACGCUCGCUGACCCCGCUGGGCAUCUGGGUCUCUCCCCCAUCCCGUUCCCACCAGGCAGCUCAAGGUGCUGAGAGGCGGCACAUGCCCGGGCAGGGCCCACUGCAGCUGGCGGCUCAGAGGAUGGCACUCCUGCUCCGCCGCUGGCUCAUGCCCCCUUGGGAGUCAGGGUCAGGGAGGUGCCCACCCACAGGUCACACCCUCCUGGCUCUGGGCCCCCGCUUCCUUCCUCCCUCCUUCUCUCAGGCAAACUAGAGACCCAGAAACCAGACCUCCAUGAGCCGGGGCCCCAAGGGACUGCUGGGAGCCUGGUGACUCUCUGUCCUCCCCUGUGCCGGGGAUCAAUAGUCUCUCGAAGGGCCUCUGGGCAUCUCUCAGGCCUGUCCCCAAGGGCCGGCGCGGCUCGGGCUUCGGUGAGCCUGAGGCAAGUGUCCCAGCAGCUCUCCUCUCCGCAGACCCCCACUGGCCACAUGGCCAAGCUGCCCAGCUGAGGCUCCUGCUAGAGACAACCGAUGGGGUAGGAGGGAGCGGCUGCCAGGGGCCAGCCCUGGAGGGGCCAGCGGUGGGCGUGGUCUCCAGGCCAGUCCCGGGAAGGGCCAGGGAAGGGGCCGGAGGUGGCCUGGCCUCCUCUCAGGCAGCAGAAGGGUGGACACCAGCUGACACCCACACCCCGCUGCCUGCCACACCUUCCUCCUCGGCCCAGCGUUUUCUCACGCUCGGAGCUGGCAUGGCGAACCCUGCGUGCUGGGACUUGUCACCCCAUCCCGGGAAGGUGGGCGAGGCUUUUCCUCUGGGCCUGGGGGCAGGGGCCACCGCAAGUCAAGACACGGCCUGGAGUGGUGGAGCCGGGUUGCGACACCAGCUGAGCAGCUGCAGGGGGCCCGGCCCACAUCUGGCCCGUGUCCCAGUCCGUCCGCCUACCUUGGCACCUACCCCCCGCUGGGGAGGGCAGAGAGCAUGGGUGGGCUUGGGGAGGCGGGUUCCCAUCCUUCCUAGAGGUGGACCCAGGGGCUUGGGCCAAGGCCCUGCCCCGCUCUGGUCCUCAGCUGGAAACUGAGGAAAUUGAGGAUCGUAAAGUUUCGUCGGGACACCCAUGUGCACCCACACGCCCCGCACGCUGUCGGAGUCUGCAGUGUGGUCAGCAGUGCUGACCUCAGUUUUCCCCUCUGGAGAGUGGGAUGACAGCAUAGCUACCUCAGGGCUGCUGGGAGACUCCGACAAGAAAUCCACACUUCGGGAGUCCUGGGCCUUUUGCAGCGUCACGGCUGUGACUUUGGGACAGAGGGCCAGGAAUUCCUAAGGGCCCCCGAGGCUGACGUGCUGCGGGGACAGAGGCCUGAUGGCCUCCAAGCCUCACUCAGUCCCGGGACAAGACCUUGGAUCUCUCUGGCCAGAACUGGUGAGGUUCACUCUCCCGCUGAGAGCUGGGGGGAGGCCCCCCUCCAGCAGGGCCCCCGCCUCCAGCCAGUCCCUUCGGGGCUAACCCCCCGGUGACAGACUGGCCCCUGAGCAAAUCCAUUUCAUUUGAGGUCAGGCCGGCCUGUGGUUCCCCUCAACCCACCAGGUCCUGGUGUGGGCCUCUGGCUGUAAAGACAAAACCGGAUCCUCUCUGGGCACCACCCCUGUAGGGCUAGUGGGAACCCAGGCCGAGGGUGGUCCCCAGGAGGGUGGCAUGAGUACCUGGCCUGUCCCAUUUGCCUCAGCGAAAUGGGGGGCGGGGGUAGAGUGGGACAUGGGACAGGCCGGAGUGGCGCCCUGGACAGACCCUCCUCAGUUCUGUUGUCACGUGGAGAAACUGAGGCCCAGGGAGGUGCAAGCCCACGGCUGGGCUCGUGGGCCAAGCUGGGCCCCCGGAGGCCCCGGGCCUUCCUGGCCGUGAUGUGCAGGCCGUUCUCUGGGCAGGAAGGAGGGCCUGGGGCGCGGGGCUCUGGGGAAAGGGCCCCAUAGCUUAAGAGCUCCUUCCGCAGGAGUCACCAGCUGCCAUCGGAGGCUGGGGAGACGGAGAGGCAGGCCCCCUGGGAGGCAGCCCCUCGACACCCUGGCAACCCCCCAGGCAGGCGUGGGAAUGUGACUGGCGGGAACAGGGCCUCUCCCCCAGGAAUCAGCGGCUGGGCGCCGGCCAAGGCGGGUCUGAUCCAAAGAGGAAGCAAAGUUCAGCUGCUGCGGAGCAGAUGAGCUGCUGGGGGCGGACGCAGGCCGUGAAGAUGGGGCUCCAGCCCCAGCCCUGGCUGAGCCCUGAUCCCAGGUGCAGAUGCCCCUGACUGUAGCCACGGGCUGCCUUCUGAUCCCAGUUACAGGUUGACGUCUCACGCCAGCCCCAGACUGAGCCCUGACACAGGCGUGAACUGAGCACACACCCCAGCCUUGGACCAGCCCCUGACCCCAACCAGACCGGCCCCGAUCCAGGCACAGACCAGCCUCAUCUCUGCUGACGUCCAACUCCAGCUUUGUCCACCUCUGGCUCUUUGCUUCUUCAGCCCCCAGGCCGAGACCAUCCUGGGUUGCAUCAGCAGGGGCCAGCCCCCGGGAUCGGGAAGGUGACGGUCCACGCUGUUGGAUGCUGUGUCCCUUCCUGGCCCUGCACUUUCAAAGGUCCGCAGACCAGCUAGAGCGGAUGCAGGAGGGAGACCAGUGUGCAGGCCUGGGGGCGCCGAGGGGGCCAAGGCUGGCUGGUGUGGAGGCAGGAGGCCUGCUCAGCCUGGUGGGACCCAUGCCACCUCCAGCGUGUGAGCCAGCGUGCCACCUCCACCACCUUGUCUUCCAGCCAGCCCUGAAAGGCGGAGCGCGCCCGCCCUGCUUCGUGGACGAGGAACCGGGCCGGACAGGCUCAGUGAUACCCAAACGUACACAGCACGACCCGAGGCAGUCUGACCCGAAGCCCAGUCAGCCGUGCUGGAGACAGACCUCAGCCUGAUCCCAACACCACCAGCCUAUGGGGCGGGGGCUGCCUUGAGUGGAUGGGGCAGCUUCACGGGGGCGGGGGGAGACGUCGGGGGAGACGCCGGGGACCACCGAGCUGGGGUGUCGGAGCCGGAUCUGGGCCCCCAGGUGGGAGGGGGGCCAUCUGGGCUGUUGGGCCCCUGCAGCCACCAACUCGGGCUCCCUGAGCCUCCCAGGAGCUGAGUCUGGGCACCCCGAGCUUGGGGGGAAGAAGCUGUGUUUAUUCGGAGCUCUAAUCUCUGGGCCUUAUCGCCUCCUGUUUGCCCAUCGAGAGCUCACACAUGGCUGGAGGUCACAGCGGGGUGGGAGGGGCUGACAAUAUUUGCCCACUUCUCCGAGCCUCUCAGCUCGGAGGGGUCUCCCGCGGGCACCAGAUGCCAGGUGGGGUGCCUGCGGUGUUGACAUUCCCCAGCUCUGAGUUUGGCUUCCGAUAGCGGUGCACGAGGACGUGGCCGGAGCAGCCCUUUCUCAUAGGAAAGCUGGAGAAACAGCUGCGCACCCCCCGCGGGGCUUGGUUGCCCCCAUGCUGUCCCAGCCCACACCUGGGACGUGGGAAAGUCCACUUGGAGUGUCCAGGGGCUGUGCUGGGGCUGCGGACAGGAGGCCGGGCCCAGCCCCAAGUCAGGGCCCACGGCAGGGUGCCCAGACCCUGCCCGAAGGAGGCAGUGUGGCUUCGUGGUUAGGGCACACGAGGGCUCCGCGCGCUUGGCACUGUGUGGCUUGGGGAGCCCCAGUUUCCAGCUAUUAAACGGGGCGCUCGUGAGUCCCACACCAUGGAGUUGCGGGGAGAUGGAUGAGGUGCUGAACCACACACACACACCACCGCCCGCCUCCGCACUGGGUCCAGUAGGGCCAUCGCCCCCCCUCGCCCCACAGGCUGACCAGGCCCCAGGGGAGGCGGGCUUGGGCAUGCCCUCCCACCCAGGUACCAGGCCAGCAGGGGCCUCUCCAACACCCUCAGCCACUCCCCGGCUGCUUCCAGUGAGGGCCCUUUUCCUUUCUGGGUUUAUUGGGGGUUAACCAUCCCCAUCACCCAGUUUACGGGACCUCUGGUUGCUUCAAAGCCCGCCUGGUACCAGCAGGCCCGCCCCCUGAGGAUGGGAACCCACCUGCUGCGCUUGGGGGCCCCCACGGGCUUUAGGGGGACGGGCCAGGAGGAAGAGGCAAGGAGGUAGCUGGUAGCCGUGGCCUCCUCGAGGGCCUCGGUGGGACAGCGGCACCCGGACGGUGCUGUCACCGCGUCCAGCCCAGGGGAGCCCGGGUCUAGGCAGGCAGGCUGGUCCCAGGCAAGGGUGCCAGCAUGGCCGGCCCAGGGUCAGGCGGCUCCGGGACCAGGUUGCCGUGUGACCUGGGUGAGCCCAGGCCCUUUGCCCUCCCAAGUCCUUUCCUCCGUAAAAAACAAAAAGAGUGAAAAUUAGAUCUUAUGGUUGUGUUGGUCUAAAGACAAAUACACUAAUAUUAUAUAUGAAAGCAUUUUCUUGUUCUUAAAAAUUCAGGUUUUUCUCCUGAUUUUAAAAGACAUUAAAAUACUUCCCUGAGCCUC